GACGAACGCUGGCGGCGCGCCUAAAACAUGCAAGUCGAACGAGAAGCCCGGGCUUGCCCGGGUGGACAGUGGCGAACGGGUGAGUAACACGUGAGGAACCUGCCCCGAAGACCGGGACAACACCGGGAAACCGGUGCUAAUACCGGAUGCCUUCACCGGAUCGCAUGGUCUGGUGAAGAAAUGGAUUCCGCUUCGGGAUGGCCUCGCGGGCUAUCAGCUUGUUGGUGAGGUAACGGCUCACCAAGGCAACGACGGGUAGCUGGUCUGAGAGGAUGGCCAGCCACACUGGGACUGAGACACGGCCCAGACUCCUACGGGAGGCAGCAGUUAGGAAUCUUGCGCAAUGGACGAAAGUCUGACGCAGCGACGCCGCGUGCGGGAUGAAGGCCCUCGGGUUGUAAACCGCUUUCAGCAGGGACGAAAUUGACGGUACCUGCAGAAGAAGCCCCGGCCAACUACGUGCCAGCAGCCGCCGUAAAAC
rnacentral:rRNA from 1 species